GAUGAACGCUGGCGGCGUGCCUAAUACAUGCAAGUCGAGCGAACGGACGAGAAGCUUGCUUCUCUGAUGUUAGCGGCGGACGGGUGAGUAACACGUGGAUAACCUACCUAUAAGACUGGGAUAACUUCGGGAAACCGGAGCUAAUACCGGAUAAUAUUUUGAACCGCAUGGUUCAAAAGUGAAAGACGGUCUUUCUGUCACUUAUAGAUGGAUCCGCGCUGCAUUAGCUAGUUGGUAAGGUAACGGCUUACCAAGGCAACGAUGCAUAGCCGACCUGAGAGGGUGAUCGGCCACACUGGAACUGAGACACGGUCCAGACUCCUACGGGAGGCAGCAGUAGGGAAUCUUCCGCAAUGGGCGAAAACCUGACGGAGCAACGCCGCGUGAGUGAUGAAGGUCUUCGGAUCGUAAAACUCUGUUAUUAGGGAAGAACAUAUGUGUAAGUAACUGUGCACAUCUUGACGGUACCUAAUCAGAAAGCCACGGCUAACUACGUG
rnacentral:rRNA from 1 species